GAUGAAGAACGGAGCGAAAUGCGAUAAGUAAUGUGAAUUGCAGAAUUCAGUGAAUCAUCGAAUCUUUGAACGCACAUUGCGCCCGCCAGUAUUCUGGCGAGCAUGCCUGUUCGAGCGUCAUUUCAACCAUCAAGCCCCAGGCUUGUGUUGGAGCCCUGCGGCUGCCGCAGCCUCCCAAAACCAGUGGCGGGCUCGCUAUCACACCGAGUGCAGUAGUUUACUCUUCGCUCAGGGCGUGUGGCGGGUGCUAGCCGUGAAACCCCCAACUUCUCAAGGUUGACCUCGGAUCAGGUAGGAAUACCCGCUGAACUUAAGCAUAUCAAUAAGCGGAGGA
rnacentral:misc_RNA from 1 species